rnacentral:rRNA from 1 species
CUGGCGGCAGGCCUAACACAUGCAAGUCGAGCGCGCCUUCGGGUGAGCGGCGGACGGGUUAGUAACGCGUGGGGACGUGCCCUUUUCUACGGAAUAGCCUCUGGAAACGGAGAGUAAUACCGUAUACGCCCUUUGGGGGAAAGAUUUAUCGGAGAAGGAUCGGCCCGCGUUAGAUUAGGUAGUUGGUGGGGUAACGGCCUACCAAGCCUACGAUCUAUAGCUGGUUUUAGAGGAUGAUCAGCAACACUGGGACUGAGACACGGCCCAGACUCCUACGGGAGGCAGCAGUGGGGAAUCUUAGACAAUGGGGGCAACCCUGAUCUAGCCAUGCCGCGUGAGUGAUGAAGGCCUUAGGGUCGUAAAGCUCUUUCGCCUGUGAUGAUAAUGACAGUAGCAGGUAAAGAAACCCCGGCUAACUCCGUGCCAGCAGCCGCGGUAAUACGGAGGGGGUUAGCGUUGUUCGGAAUUACUGGGCGUAAAGCGCGCGUAGGCGGAUUAGAAAGUUGGGGGUGAAAUCCCGGGGCUCAACCUCGGAACUGCCUCCAAAACUGCUAGUCUAGAGUUCGAGAGAGGUGAGUGGAAUUCCGAGUGUAGAGGUGAAAUUCGUAGAUAUUCGGAGGAACACCAGUGGCGAAGGCGGCUCACUGGCUCGAUACUGACGCUGAGGUGCGAAAGUGUGGGGAGCAAACAGGAUUAGAUACCCUGGUAGUCCACACCGUAAACGAUGAAUGCCAGUCGUCGGGUAGUAUACUAUUCGGUGACACACCUAACGGAUUAAGCAUUCCGCCUGGGGAGUACGGUCGCAAGAUUAAAACUCAAAGGAAUUGACGGGG